AGUGAACGCUGGCGGUAGGCCUAACACAUGCAAGUCGAACGGCAGCACAGUAAGAGCUUGCUCUUACGGGUGGCGAGUGGCGGACGGGUGAGGAAUACAUCGGAAUCUACUUUUUCGUGGGGGAUAACGUAGGGAAACUUACGCUAAUACCGCAUACGACCUACGGGUGAAAGCAGGGGAUCUUCGGACCUUGCGCGAUUGAAUGAGCCGAUGCCGGAUUAGCUAGUUGGCGGGGUAAAGGCCCACCAAGGCGACGAUCCGUAGCUGGUCUGAGAGGAUGAUCAGCCACACUGGAACUGAGACACGGUCCAGACUCCUACGGGAGGCAGCAGUGGGGAAUAUUGGACAAUGGGCGCAAGCCUGAUCCAGCCAUACCGCGUGGGUGAAGAAGGCCUUCGGGUUGUAAAGCCCUUUUGUUGGGAAAGAAAAGCAGCAGGUUAAUACCCCGCUGUUCUGACGGUACCCAAAGAAUAAGCACCGGCUAACUUCGU
rnacentral:rRNA from 1 species